ACCAUACAGGGGAACACUCGGCAGAGCCAGAGGCCUGGGCCCAAGUCCUGCCACCAGCUGGCUGUGAAACUGUGGUACAGCACCUUGUGUCCUGCCACCAGCCGGCUGUGAAACUGGUACAGCACCUUGUCCUCAGGUCCUUGGUUUCCUCACUUGUAAAUUCAUGGUUCUCCAUGGCAUCUCUGGUCUUCAACAUUAUUUUGCAUAGAGUCUCAGAAGCUUUAGUGUGAGCGGAUGAUAUGGGCACGAAGCAAGGCACCCAGAAGUGGGGGCAACUACUCUGCUUUCUAAAAUGCAAGGGAACCGGAAAAUCCAGGAGCCGUGCCAAAUGAGAAGAGGAACAAAUGGAGGAACAUCCCAGUCAAGUGACAUUCCUAGUGACAUUCACCAGAACAGAGUCAAGCUUUGGAUCCCAUGUUCUGUGACUUCCUCUUCACCACGCUUCCUCCACACACGUAGCAGCUCAAGGGUUUCUGAUGAGUGGGGAAAUGACUUACUGCAAAGAACCACUCUUCCCCACGAGACUUCGAGAAGACCCGCUGUCACGGACUGAGUUGUGUCCUCUUAAAAUUCAGAUGUUGGAGUCCAAACCCCCAGUAACUCAGAGUGUGAACGUAUUUGAAGAGGUCUUUAAAGAGGUGAUGAAGGGAGAGAGACCCCAUGAGCUCGUCAAGCUCCUUCUGUGACUGAUCAGAGAUCCCACCGUGAGUCCAGCUCCUGGUCCCAUGCUCUGGAUAUAUCGGUCCCUGGCAGCGUGCAGUCUUCUUUCCACCAAUGACCCCUCGCGCUGCUUCCAGAAGCCAAGAAAGUGGGCUUUGUCCUUGGGGAUUUAGGAGGCGGAGCGGCGCCCCCUUGAGGCCACAUGGUGGAGGCAGCGAUGAGACCUGGAGUCUAAAAUUCAGACUGAAUCACAGGAAGAAGCUAUUUACACAAGUCAAACAUGGUCCAAUCUUGGCAAUUUCAUAAGGUUCCAAUCCUUAAGGGAUCAAAACCUGGCCAACUGCUUCCACCGAGAGGUGUGCCUUUCAAUGCCAGGCUUGGAGUGUCCCUCUUUAUUUAAAAAGGAGAGGAUUCCACAGCAGAGCUUCUCAAACUCUUCCACCCAAAUCCCCUCACCACAGAGGGACAGGAGUCCUGGGCAUGUAGCCUAAAGCAGCCAGGAGAAAAAAACCUUGACCUUAAUUUUUUUAAUGAUUUCACAUGAAUCAGUGGAAUGUGUUUAUGAUAAAAUCAUCUCCUCCUGAAAUACAUGUGUAAAACUGCUGCCCCAGUUAAACGCACUUAGUCUAACCAAGCCCUAGGAUUGGCCUCUCCAGCAUGAGAAGCAUUUCCAGCACUCCAGCUCCCCAGCUCCCACUCUGGGAUCCCACCUCAGACCCUCCCACUUCCUUGCACUCUGGCCUCUCGCUCUUGACCCUGCUCCCGCCACGCUCUUUCCUCAGAGUCCAUCAGUCCUGUCUUGUCUUCACCUUGGUCUCUGCCAAGUGUGGGUCCAAGUCAUAUAUUUGGGCUGUGAUCACAGGAACCCCAAGCCCCAGACCUCCCAAAGCACCCUAUGGAGAGACCUUACCCUCCUGGACAGACCCUCUCCCCCCAGCUAGACCUCAUCCUCUGGGUAGACCCAUCUCCCCAACCAGAACUCACCCUCCUGAGUAAACCCCAUCCCCCUAGCUAGACUUCAUCCUCCUGGACAGAUCCCAUCCCCCCAGCUAGACCUCACCCUCUUGGGUAGAUGCAUCUCCCCAACCAGAACUCUCCUGGGUAGACCCCUUCUACCCAGCUAGACCUGAUCCUCUGGACAGACCCCAUCAUCCCAGCUAGACUUCUCCCUCCUGGACUGUCCCCAUCCCCCCUCCAGCCAGACCUCACCCCUCUGGGUAGACCCCAUCCCCCCAACUAGACCUCACCCUCCUGGAUGGACUCUACCCUCCUGGAGAUACCUUCCCCUCCUGGGUACAUCCCACGUGGCUACACACUCCUUCCCCUGUCAGCUUUCUCCCCCAGGGUUCUGGGCAGCAGAGUCUGUGAUAAAGGAUACUAAGUGAUUCCCCAAUACUUCCCGUUUCCAGCCUCCAGUGGGCUCUCCCUGGGGCUAACGGUUCUUUUUGCUAUUUCUCCAGGCUUUGCCUGAUGACAAGUAUACUCUGAGAGUGUCCUAAUGAUACAGAUUUUGGACCCUAUCCCAGUUCUACUGAAUCCAAGUCUCUGGGGGAGGAGUUGGGGCUCUGCAUCUGGACACCUUCCUGCAGGGUCCCUCCUGGGAGGCAAGCCCGGGGAGCACCGCUGAGGCUCGCCUCAGUGCCCAUCCUAGACCUUCAGCAGCUAGCAGAGGAUGUCCCCACCAUCCCUCAGCCCACACUCCCACUGUCGCCCCAGCCAGGCUUGGCACUGCCUCCUUUCUCAGAAGAUUAAGACCAUCUGCUGUUUCCCAAGUUUCCCACCCUCCACCCUAAAAAUUUCUCCGUUUCCCAGUCUUUCCUCGUCUCUCAGAAAAUAAACAUCUUCCCAGGCUGCCUCCCCAGUGGGUCUGCACUCCUUGCUGUCUUCCCAGCACCUGCCCUUCCAGCCCGCCCUCUGUGUGUCCAGUGUUUCCCUCACCAAAGGACUCGCUUUGUUUUUCAAAUUGGAGGUUUUGUCUUCUCCCUAAAAACCAAAACAUCUCCCUGAGAAGUAACUCCCUCAAGCUACUGAUACGGAAGGGGGGCGGGGAAGUGCUGGGAAGGGAAGGGUGUGGUCCCUGGCUAGGGCUCCACCCCCGGGCCUGUGCCCACAGACCUAGGUGAGGACAGGCAUUUCUGUUUUCGUGCUUAAAUGUUGGAUUUCCCAAGACUACCCUGGCCUACCACACCCUCAUUCUGUGCCUGUAAAAAAACCUGAGAGCUUAGCAGGCACGCACACAAGCCUCUGGACGUCAAGAGGAACACACCGGUGUAAGAGCAGACUGAUAGUGGCCCACGGCAGGCUGGCAGGCCAUCGACAGGCAGAACCACUCAGUGCAGCUGGAGGACAGCCUGGCCACGGAGCGGUCCGACUUCAGAGGGGAAAACCACCUCCCCACUCCGUCUCCCUUCUGGCUCCCCCAUCUGAGAGCUACUUCCACUCAAUAAAACCUUGCACUCAUUCUCCAA